rnacentral:tRNA from 1 species
ACGCAGGGGGUCGCGGGUUCGAGUCCCGUCCGUUCCGCCAAUUUCUCUAAACUAAACGUUCACAUUAUUUUAUCGCC